UCCCUACGGGACGCAGCAGUAGGGAAUCUUCCACAAUGGGCGAAAGCCUGAUGGAGCAACGCCGCGUGAGUGAAGAAGGUCUUCGGAUCGUAAAACCCUGUUGUUAGAGAAGAAAGUGCGUGAGCGUAACUGUUCACGUUUCGACGGUAUCUAACCAGAAAGCCACGGCUAACUACGUGCCAGCAGCCGCGGUAAUACGUAGGUGGCAAGCGUUAUCUGGAUUUAUUGGGCGUAAAGGGAACGCAGGCGGUCUUUUAAGUCUGAUGUGCAAGCGUUCGUCUUAAACGUUGUAGUGCAUUGGAAAC
rnacentral:rRNA from 1 species